AUUGAACGCUGGCGGCAUGCUUUACACAUGCAAGUCGAACGGUAACAGGCCGCCAGGUGCUGCCGAGUGGCGAACGGGUGAGUAAUGCAUCGGAACGUGCCCAGUCUUGGGGGAUAACUACUCGGAAGAUUAGCUAAUACCGCAUACGAACUAUGGAUGAAAGCGGGGGACCGUAAGGCCUCGCGCGAUUGGAGCGGCCGAUGUCAGAUUAGGUAGUUGGUGGGGUAAAGGCCCACCAAGCCAACGAUCUGUAGCAGCUUUGAGAGGACGACCAGCCACACUGUGACUGAGACACGGCCCAGACUCCUACGGGAGGCAGCAGCGGGGAAUUUUGGACGAUGGAGGCAAGCCUGAUCCAGCAAUGCCGCGUGCAGGAAGAAGGCCUUCUGGUUGUAGACUGCUUUUGUACGGAACGAAACGGCUCUGGUUAAUACCCGGGGCUAAUGACGGUACCGGAAGAAUAAGCACCGGCUAACUACGUG
rnacentral:rRNA from 1 species